UAGUCCACGCCGUAAACGAUGAGUGUUAGAUGUCCGAGGUAAACUUGGGUGUCCCAAGCUAACGCGAUAAACACUCCGCCUGGGGAGUACGUACGCAAGUAUGAAACUCAAAGGAAUUGACGGGGACCCGCACAAGCAGCGGAGCAUGUGGUUUAAUUCGACGCAACGCGAAGAACCUUACCAAGUCUUGACAUAACUUUGAAGCCGAUUAGAGAUAGUUGGUGUUUGUACUUCGGUCAACAAAGACUAC
rnacentral:rRNA from 1 species